CCUACGGGAGGCAGCAGUAGGGAAUCUUCCACAAUGGGCGAAAGCCUGAUGGAGCAACGCCGCGUGGGUGAAGAAGGUCUUCGGAUCGUAAAACCCUGUUGUUAGAGAAGAAAGUGCGUGAGAGUCACUGUUCACGUUUCGACGGUAUCUAACCAGAAAGCCACGGCUAACUGCGUGCCCGCAGCCGCGGUAAUACGUAGGUGGCAAGCGUUAUCCGGAUUUAUUGGGCGUAAAGGGAACGCAGGCGGUCUUUUAAGUCUGAUGUGAAAGCCUUCGGCUUAACCGGAGUAGUGCAUUGGAAACUGGGAGACUUGAGUGCAGAAGAGGAGAGUGGAACUCCAUGUGUAGCGGUGAAAUGCGUAGAUAUAUGGAAGAACACCAGUGGCGAAAGCGGCUCUCUGGUCUGUAACUGACGCUGAGGUUCGAAAGCGUGGGUAGCAAACAGGAUUAGAUACCCUAGUAGUC
rnacentral:rRNA from 1 species